UUGCACAGGUGCUGCAUGGCUGUCGUCAGCUCGUGUCGUGAGAUGUUCGGUUAAGUCCGCUAACGAGCGCAACCCUCGCUGUGUGUUAUAUGUGUCACACGGGACUGCCGGUCUUAAGCCGGAGGAAGUGGGGAUGAUGUCAAGUCAGCAUGGCCUUUAUAUCCUGGGCUACACACACGCUACAAUGGCCAACACAAUAGGUUGCUAAGCCGCGAGGUGGCGCCAAUCCAUAAAGUUGGUCUCAGUUCAGAUUGUAGGCUGCAACCCGCCUGCAUGAAGAUGGAGUUGCUAGUAACCGCAGGUCAGCUAUACUGCGGUGAAUACGUUCCCGGGGCUU
rnacentral:rRNA from 1 species